GCUAGGAGGAACAGUCCUUAGAAAGAAGUCUUUUUCUCUUGCUCUCUGUGGCAGAGACUACCAGAGAUAUUUGGAGUGACACAGAUGAUGCCACACACCCUGGGGUUUGGCUCAGGUUACCUCCUGGGCAAUUUCCAUGAGUAUCCAGGACUCAACAGAGAUCAUCAGUUCCCACCAGCAGCAUGAAGCCCCUGAAGCGUUAGAUGCGGAGUUGCUUGCAAAUCGACCUCAGAGCAAAAUGUAAGAAGCCCAGGAAGAAGAUUCUCAAGCUCUGCAGAGGUUUGGUCCAGGCCUGUGUGCCGCCCUCAUCAACAUGCCCACUAAUGUCACCAGAACUAAGGACGUGAGGAGGAUGAGGCCUUUGGCACCCGACAAGUGACAGCAUGGUGGUACAAAGCUCGAAACCAAAAGUGACCAGACUUCAGACAAAGAAUUAUUAGGGAAGCUGCUGAAGCCUCCACACAGGUGUCUGACAGCAGUCCCACCACGGCGGAUGGGAAACUGCCUCACGACUCAGCCUCUUCUCCCCCAUCCCUGAGGAUGCAGCUUCCACCAUGACACAUCCCAUCUUUGCCUCCCCAGGUGAGGAACGAGCAGCUUCGAACUUCUACAGAACUGCACCAUACCUUGAAUUAUUUUAACUCAAGCCAUUCCGUCGCUGAUAGAGAACCGCAUAUUACCCGGUUAAUUUUCGGAGUCACACUGACUGGUGAUCCUUUGUCCCAUAAGGUAAGCAUAGCACACUAGACGGAUAGACUGCGGCAGAACGAGUUACAUGUUGCAUUUAGAGGCAAGUAUCGCUUUAAAAAAAUUUACCUGCCUGCCAAAAACUGGGCAAAACAAGAGGGUAAGUUCAGCUCAGUGCAUAGAGUAGUUCCUCACUGCCUGACUCCCCUCCCGGCUGCCGGGAAUGCCUGGCAUGUCAGGUAACCCAUGCUGAGCAACAGCCCAAAAGCACUUCUUUGCUUGUAAAAAUGAAACAAGCUCCAUAUUGAAAAAAGUGAUUUUCAGAGGUACUGUAGUUGCGGAUAAGUCUGCAGCCGUGCUGCUCAGCCAUCACACAGAGCCCAGGCGCCCAGCAGAGGCCAGAUUUAAGCAGUGCUGGUCGAUAUGUGUGUAGCAGGGACCACUGCAAUCCCGAAGAGGCAACUCCAGCUGCCUUGUGCCAGGGCAUCCUAUGGCUGCCUUUCCUCGCUUCUUCAUGACCCAAGCGACAAACAUUAAGAUGAAACAAGCAUUAACAAAAUAUAGCUAUUUAAUUGUUCAUAUUCUGUAAUUCAGGAGAGCCCCUGGGACGUCCUGUGCUGUUUUGACCUCUAGUACUUCCCUGACUCAUCAGCAACUCUGUUGUUUCAUGUUGGUAAAUCUUUCAUCCAUGUUGGUAGCAUCCAUAGUGUAGAUGCUGUUCUCUCCUGGUUGGGCUGCAGCUGCAGCUGGCAGCUUCUCCAUGAAGAAGCGUACUGAUUUUCUGCGGCUGUGGUGAUCUGAUAUUAUAGGUGCUGUACAGUCUCAGAUAGGAGGUCUCAAAUAGCGGAGUCUCCUGUCUGUUCAAGGCCUUCCCAGCUGAAUCUCUUUGUAACCUUCUCCUCUUAGGCUUGAGGGCGGUGUUAGCUGCUUGGGCUCUUUCACACGACAAGGUUUGUAACAUCUGCCCAAUGCCAUGCGUUAUGACAGUAAACGAUACUGCUUAUAACAAACAUCUCCCGGGUUUCCUUUGACUUUUCAGUCUCUGAAUGGUUUUCAGACAUCCUGUGGCCAGUGUCUGUCUAUACCACCUUAGUAGUAUAGAAAAUCCUGGUGAUUUUGGCAUUGAGGAUUCCUGUGAGGCUGGUGCAGAGGCUGGUAAGAAGCUGCCCUGAACCCCCGGGGUCAGGAAUACCACGUCCUCUCUGUGUUUGGACUGAUACUGGAGAGGCUUUAGAAGGGUCAGACAGACAUGCACAUUAUCCGGCAUGGGACUUUGUGGCAUGGGACUUUGUGCACAACCAGCAAUUUACAGAUGUACCCCUAAAAUUCACAUCGAAGUCUGAUCUUUUUUUUUCUGCACACUAUUUUAUGCAGUGUAUCAUGUCCAACAUGACUGUAAUCUGUCUUCUGUCUUACUCAGAUCCAGCUCUGCCUCCUGCUAUUUUAACUCCUCUCCCAGGGAUAUCUGUUAGAUGGACUUUUCAUUCCAUUAUUUGGGCUCAUGUCACAUUUCACCACUGUUUUGCCCCAAAUCAAAGCAGCAACCUCACUCCCUCCGUGCCCAUGGCUCCCAAAAACUAGGAAGCUGCUCUGAGGCGGUCGGUCUCCAUGGAGUUGUGGUAACGAGCUGCGGUGACUGUACACCUUUAUGUUAUUAAAAGCAAACAGACCUGUCCAGAUUUUUUUUCCAGGGGUCAGGCGUGCUGCCUCCCUGCCAGCUCGCUGUUUUCCCUGUCUGACAGUGUUCGCUGUGGCCACUCAUGCUUGGCUGGAGGAUACGCUCCCUGGAUCCGCUUAGGCACGUCUGUCUCCUACGUGUCCAGCGUAUGUUGGGUAAACGAUGUCAGAUCUUUGCUGGAACUACUGGAUGGCUAUUUAAGAAAAACACCGGGAGUUAGGACAGGCGCAUCCCGCCGUGCUUAUCAUGGACAGUAAGUUACAGCAAUUGCCAGAGCCUCCCUUCUGGGCUGUAAAGGUUUUGCAAACAGACAUCUGCACAGCGUGCCCUGCUCGGUGCAUUGCCAGAGACAUUGCUGGGCAGUACCCUCUCCUCACCUAAGAGCUUUAGGGUCCCAGUGACAUGUGUUACAGUUGUCUGAGCACUCAGCAGUGACUUCUUUGUGAUGCUGCCUAAUUUCUCCAGGGCUGGAUCCGUUUCUCUCAAUAAUUCCACUUGCAGGCUGUAAUCCCACAAGCCACACUGUUUUUAAUUAGGGGUUCCAUAAUGUCUCCGAAGAUAUGCAUACUGUCAGAGAUCUUAUAUCUGAAACAUAAGGCUCUAUUGCCCCUUAUUUUUCUUCUCGGUUUUGAGCACAAUUACUGUGUCCCUCUACAGUCUUAUUCUGUCCAGGUCAAGUCUUCAAAUAACUUUCUCAACGGUUCAAUUGUUCCAAGUAUUAUUUUGAAAAUAGUCUCUCCCAGGUCAUUUCUUGCCCUCGUUGCUCAGUGAGACAGUAAAAAGUUCUACUUCCAUGUUUUCUCACUGUCUUUGACGGCCAACUCCAUGUAUCAAUUCAUUUCUUCCCUCUGCUGAAUCCGCAUUCACAUGGAGACUUCAAGCUGUCUUUUUGAGCUCCCAGUGACCUGAGUCCCCUCUGGCAGCUUGCCUGCUCUGUUUCCAGGCUGUCUUUCUUUGCCUGGACGAUGGGGCAGUUCGUUAGUGAGGCGGCUGCUGCUGCAGUGAUGCACGUACCACGCUGGCUGAUGAUAUAAGCUCGGUCCCACACUCUUAUAAAGGGACAGUUUAUCUCCAGCUGCAGGUCACUCUCUUGCUGUGUGCUUCCUGAUGCCACCUCUGGAGACUUCCCGCAUAGACCCUGUGCCUGGUCCUCCCUCCUCUGGAACUGAGCAUACAGAAAUACUUGAGUAAAAGAAUUCAAAAGCAAUUUCUGCCGUCCCUUAUGGACUACCACCACUACUAAUGUUAGUAAGAGAGAAGUUCUGUUAGGGCCUGUAGCACAUCCCUCAGGUAGCUGUUGCAAAUGGGAAGCAUUUAAAGGUGGGCUUUGUCCUAAUAUCGUCUGUUGGAAAGGACUUUCUGUUCCAUAUAUUUCAUGUUAUUGCCCUGAAAAGCUAAAUGGGAAAGCAUACUACUAAUUGAAGUGCUUAUGGAAAUUAAAUCCAUGUUUAAAGGAAUUUAAAAUUUUUAAUGCAAAAUUCAGCAGCUAGAAAUUUUGCACCAACUUCUACUUAAUUAAAAUUAAUAAGGUUUCAAAGAGUUUCAGUUGGGAUAGACCAGGAAAGAAUUUGGCCUUAAACGUGUAAUUAAAAUACAAUUACAUUGGAAAGAAGUCAUUACUGAGGUUGUACCUCAAAAGCAUACCUAAUGGGCUAUCAGGAGAAAAGGCUUGUGCAUUUGGUACACCAGCUAUAUAAGAUAUGAAAGGAUGUAGUCACUGAGAGAAAGAGAUAUUAGCAAGAUCAUUUUGGUAGACAGUAACAGUCCUUUUAUGGCCAAUUCCUUCUGGCAAUAUUCAGCAAGGGAUCCGCUCCAUCUUAGGUUGGGACGUACAAGGAACCUCAGCAAGUUUUUAUUCUGAGACUUUUAGUUGUUUCCCAGCCCUCUGCAGGGCUGUGAGCAAGGGAAGCAUCUUUCAAGCAAUGUCAGACAUCUCUAGAUAAGGGAAACUUUAGAACCGAAAGAACUCAGUUGCCCGAUUUUGGGAACCACUUGCCAAAGAUAUAUUCAAAGCGAAGGGCCUAAUCCAACCCAGGGAGGGAGCUCUCCUCUUGGUCCCUGUACCCGUCUGCAUGAAGCCCUGAGCACAGCACCCAGAAUGGCAGUGUUAGAGUUAUGCGCAGCUCUGCAUUUGCAGGUGUUUUGUUUUACUUUAUUGCUACGACAGCCCUAUAAAAAAGAAUUUAAGAACUAUGACAUUCCACAAGAAGCACAAAACAGACGGGCUAGGGAGUAAGGUGGCAGUGUGAGCAUAAAACUGAAGCUGCUUUGUGCUCUUUGGAGCCAGAACAACCCAUCAUUCAUUUGAUUAUUUGUUUUGUUGAUGGUGGUGGGUUUUUUUAUUUGUUUGUGAUGGGGUUUUUUGGUAAUAUGUGAUAGGUUUUGUUUCAAAGUCCACUGAAGUCAGUGGUGAGGUCCUGUUGACCGUGCCAAAUUUUGGGUUAAGUUUAUGGAAAAAAAUGCAUUAGCUUUUAAAAUAAACCAUAUGUGUAGUCAAAGAUGCAAAGUUCACAAUCCCAUUGGGACCAGCUCUUUUUCAAAGGUUCAGAGUCAUGGAUUGAUUUGAACGAUCUGGAAAACCUGGAUGUAACCUUGAAUUCAAAACGCAUCAGGAGGAUUUGCUUGUAAGCUUUUGAUUUAACCUCGUCUUUUCACGUAACUUUCUGAGUUUUUUAACUGUGAUUUUUACAAGUACAGUGAGUCUUGUAAAAGAAGUGUGGGAGAGGAAAUGUGAACGUCUCAGCUGCGCAGUGUCCCCUUUGAUGCAGUACAAAAACCGGUGGUCUCGUAGUAACACACCUGAAAAAGCAGCCUUUAUAUCUUCCUCAAGCUAAUUAAAAUACAAAUUCAAGCAGAUGAGCAAUGCAAUAUUACUAAAGUGUCCAUUUGUUAACUUGUCAGCCCCUGAAGAAUUUCCCGGUUCAGUCGUGACUGAGGUAAGCGGCACCAGAGUACUCGGCCAUGGAAACUGCAGCUGGAAAAAAAGCACCUCUUGAAACCACAAAACUCACAAGGACUGACGUGGGGUGACAUUAACUAACAGCAUCAAAUAAACAGAGCAAAACUAUGCUCCCAAUCACAAAGGUCACAGAAAAGCCACACAAGUUUGCCUUAUGGUGAGUUUUGCCUUUUUGUACCCGUAUGAAACACUUUUUUUAAUGCUUCCGGGGUGGAUGGUGAAGCUUAACAGAGAAGCUAAUGGCCUGAAGUAAAAAGCUGAGACAGGCAAGGGGCAUCGCUUGUGUCCACACACUGUCAACGUCAACGUGUUGUGAGUAUGACUUUUGCCCCCUGCAAACCACCACCGCUGCUCCCCACCAGCCGGAGGCACUGGUUGGGCAGGUGCUGUCAAACAGAGAGCAUCAUCAUGGCCAAAUCCCAUCAGGUGUGGGCAGAGGCCACCCAACCCUUUUCACAUGUAUUUUAUACCAAGUGCGGAACGAUAUAGGUAUUCACUGACUGAUGGCUGCGCUGUUCAACUCACAGGAUUGUCCAGGUCCUUUUGAUUUAUAUUUUGUAUCCCACACACAGCUUAAAAGCUUUAUCUUCUCUCUAGUCUUUUAAUUUAUAAGCUGUGUAACUAGAAUGCAUGAGGGGGUUAUGUCCAAGAAUUUCAGGAUUUGCCAUCAGUUUUGCAUAGGGACAUGGGGUAAUGCCAACUUCCUUUUUCCUUUUUUUUUUCUUUUACUCACUAAAGGCAAAACACAAAUCUGCAUUUUAAAGCAGCUCUCUCAAAAUCGCAUGGCCAUAUAAUCGCAAUCUAUCGGACUAAAAAUUAAAUCUAAAAUUAGACAUAGAACAUUACCAGCCCAGGAUUUAAGGUUUAUAUUGCUGCGAAUUUCUAGGAAAAUAUUUAAGAAUCAAUUUAAAUGCUAAUGAUCUGGUUUGCCACAAAACUAGAUAGUAGUCAUACUCAGUAGCUGCAUCAGAGCCAUAGAACUGGUCUUUGCUGUGUCGGACUUCACUUGUGACAUUAUGUAUGUAAUUUUGCAAGUGUUCCUGUGUAUCACAGACCCAUGUACUACACCACAGCGAAAAGAGACUUCCCUGAAACCCUGUAGAAACCAAGUUCUCAAAAACUGAAAUAAUCCGUGUGGACUUUGGAAAUCUGACUGGAGAGCCAGAGAUGAACUCAUGGAAACCUGAGGAAGAGGUAAAGGCAGGAGUACUUACCUCUUCCCCCCUGUACCUGGUGGCUUGCUGUGUUGCCCAACUUUGCCUACAGGAUGUUCCCUAUAGUUUGGAGACCUCAAAACAGCCCUACUCGGAUCCCUCUGCCAGUUUUGUGCCAUCCCUUUGGGUUGCAAUUCUUUGAGGACCACAGAGGCUUCCUGCUGUGGGCAGUGGUAGGGUACAGUCCACUAGAGCCUAUUUACAUUUAAAUUGGGACCAACUGCAUUGGUGCCCCUGAAAGACCCUGUGGUUGGGCCCUAGACCAUGUGAUAGAGGUGACGAUGAGGUGGGUCCUUCACACAGCACGCAACCAGUGACGCCAUUGUACAUUUGUCGUAAGGGCCAGGGAAUACUUUCCCACGCAUUUUCUGAAGCAGCCGUGAGCAGCGCUGUACGAGUGAACGACCCUGGGUCAGGCCAUCCACACAAACCUGGAGCAUCUGCUCCAUUCAGCCAGUCACUACCAACUCAUUCCCGAGCUGAUGAAAUCCGGUUUGUUGUGGGGUUGUGUGGAUCUCUCUUGUGUCAGAAGAAGGCUUGCUGUAGAUUCCUGGCUGUCUUCUGUCUGGCUGUUCAUCUCUGUUUGAUUUGCAGGCAUUUCCACUUGGUUAUAUCCACCCUAGAAAACUAAACCGUGUCCAUGGGCAGACUGUCAUCUACACAGCCGAACGGCGAUGGUGAUCCCUCGCCCCAUUUUGGUCUGUGCUGACCAGCACUUUCCCAGCAAUUCCUGGACAUGAUGUGGGAGUCAGGCCUAGGACCAUUCCCAAUACACAGUGUGGGGGAAGAUGAGUUGAAUAACAUGGUCAAGAACUGUUCUGUGCCAAGGAACAGCUCCAAAGACAUUUAAUUAAUUGUUAUAUUUGUAGCAUUUGAAACUACUUAUGUUCAAUCAAACUUGUUCGGAAACUACCUAGCAAAUCCCAAAGUCAUUUGUGAGAGCUGGCAGGGAAGAAAAGAGGAAGUGAAGGAGCAAAUAAACACAUUUGCCAAUAGUAUUUUUUGCUAAAUAACUGGUCUGAAAAAAAAGGGAACAUGGUAGUACUGUGUCAUGUGCAGUGAGCAGGAGAAGAAAGCUUCCCUCCUUGCACAUGUACAUUGGGUCAAAACAGGGCAACCACAAGCAUGUUCAUGAUCUGCAAAAAGUGUACAUGAGGGAAGGGAAGAUCCAUGAGCAACAAGUUGAAGGAGAGUGAGGAAGUUGCCCCAGUGGAGCUGUUGAUGGACGAAAGCUGUUCAUGGAGUGUUCCUACAAAGCAAAGCGCAGUCACCUCGUCUGAUGAAAUGCCCCCUGGACUUUCUGCCAGAAGAGGAAAUGGGAUUUUGAGAUGCAGUCCGGUCUGAAAGAAGAUGGAGAGGGAGGACAAAGACUCAGACCCUUGUUAACCUGGUAGGAAUAUAUCCUGUAAGACAGAGAGUUCUGGAGAACCAGACACUUCACAAGCCCAGCAGAUGCGCAACACCCAAUGCCACCUUGUUUAUCCUGUAUUUCUGCUGAUGUCAUGCCCGAGGGAGCUGCAUCAUGGAUGUGGCUUCCCUGUGCUAAGUGUCAAGCGCCCAAACACAACAGGGAAACAUGGUCCCUGCCAGAGGGCACUCGUGCCAGGGAGCAGAGACACCUCCACUCCCCUUCUGCGGGCAGAGGGAGGGAUGGGGCCCCAUGGCUGUCCCCCCCUCCAUGUCUCGGUGAGCUCAACAGCCUCGGAUAGGACCGAGGCACAGGGAGGUCUGACUGCGCCUCUUCUGAACAAUUGGAGGCUCAUUUUCGUCACAUUGAUCAUUCAUCACGUUGAUUGUUAGUGGGGUUGGAAUUUAAAUAUUAAAGGACAGCCUCAGAAUAAAACAGGCAGAAACCCUAGUCCUUUUUCAUUAAGAAAAUAUCUGGGGGCUUUUUUGCCCUCUCUCCUGAACGAGGUUUGAAAAGACAAGUUAUCCUCAUAAAAUCUUAUAAACGCCCACGAGACAAUUUUGCUUUGAAGUAUCAAUGUGACAGGGCAAAAGCAGAACAAUUUGAUACUAAUGAUUUCAGUCACCAUCCUAAUGCUUCAUGUUUUAAAGAUCAUUUUGCAAUAAAGACAUCAUGAUUUUACAGUCACAUUAGAAUAAUAAACUGUAGCACUUACGGAGUACUUUUCCUCUAAAACAUGAAAUAAAUUGGAGCAAUAAGUGUUUUUCUCAUUUUAGAGUUGGAGAAACUGAGGCCCAAGGACGUGACCUUCUCACAGCACAGUCUGGGAGAACCUCACCUGCCUCCUAGUUCUGGGGCCACCCUUUGGGUCAUGCUGUCCCUCACCUGCUAGUCCGGACAAGAUGACUGAUGACAACUCUCUGCAGGAGAGAGCAGAUGGAGGUUGAUGUUCUGGCUGCCUGCCUUGUGACUUCAGGCACUUCACUAAGGCCUCUCAAAUAGGAGUGUUGAAACUCCCAUUAGGGAAAAAUAAAAGCAGGAAGAAGAAGUGACAAGAUCUAUUCACAAUAGACAAGAUGAAUACAAUUCACCAGACCACCCGAUAAUCUCUGGAGGGAGGCGGGGUGGCUACAGAGUCACCUUUCCCCAUCGUUCUUUCUGAAACAUUCUCUGCCCCUUCAUCUGUGCGAGAGAAGCAGCAGUGUUGUCCCCAACCCAUGUGGCUGCGUCUCACCCCGGUCCAACCAGAGCCUCCAUCGUUGGCAUUACGGGCACCGACAGGUGGGGACCACACAGCCAGGCAGCUGCUGCGAAGCAUCUCUUCGAGUGCAGGGAGCACGAGGAUGUGAGGCUGCCAAUAUGUCAGGUUUCUAAUUAAGAUUCAUCAGCUUCCAACCUGGCUCGAUUCAUUAUUCAUCUGGAAAUUUUCUUCCCCGACUUUCUUCUCUUCUUUCGCUGUCACCCGCUAAGCAAAGGUAUGCAUUUCCCUCCCAGAAGCUCCAUCGACAUCUCUGCUAAUAUGCAGCUCUCAGGGUGCGACAGAAGAGAAAGCGACGGUUACAAACCAGGUCCCGGAGCACUCAUCAAUAUUUACAGGCAUCUGACAAUGACUUAUCUUAGACCAUCUAUGUUUAAACCACAGCAAUGCAAAUGAGGCGCUCUUUGCAUUGCGAGUCGUGAGGAUGGGAUGUUCUAACAUUUUUUGACUUCACUAGUAGAAGGCUGCUCCUCCUCCAGAAAUAUUUCCUUUCAAUGCUGUCCUGGCGCUGUAACAUAAGUCAGGAAGUCAGGCAGGAAAAGCAAUACAAAGGGCAGAGUGGGUUUCCUAGCUCAGAAACAGGUGUAUGUUGCUUAAAAUUUUGGCAGAGGAAAAGAGGAGAGGAAAAACUCUCUGCGGCAGCCAUUCAGCAUCACAGCCUCUGCUGCUCUCUUGCAUGGCAGCUACCCAGGGAGGUGUAAGCACAGAGGUGAUUUAAAAGAUUGAUCCAGAUGAAAUGGAUAAAAAGGAUUCACGUGAUUAAGUAGGCAGGGGUUGAAACAAACAUUUCACCCUACACCCUUCUUUUCCAAAACACGAUCCUGUGUGUUGCCCGCUGCGGGUAGGGUGGGAUGGGGGGUUGGAAACAGAAGGAAAACCAAAGCAGCUCCCAGAGGCUCUCAUCGUGAGAAUUCAGAGCAAAGCAAGCUCGGGAGAUGAGGUUUCGUUGCAGUGUGCACGCCGGGGAGGAAGAGCGCAGCCUGCCUCCCCGCUGCCCCGCAGAAGGACCCGCGGGCGCUCUCAGCCCGACGGCCGUGCUCACUCGCCACGGCAGCCUGGCCUGGGGACACUUGUUGAAAGCCGUCCGGAGCAUCAGAGGGCACAUCAGAGAGCAGAAAGCAGUUUCAGCCACGGGAUUGCUUCUGGUAGCGGCACUCGUUGCCAGUUCCCGAACUGACUUUUGCUGUCUCCCAGGGAAUAUUUUUUUAAUUUAUUUUUUUUUUUUAACCACAGCAAUCUUUAUGCAAGGCAUCAUUUGCAGAACUGGCUGGAAAGAUUUAGAUUGUCAUUUCCUCAGGUUCCCUGUAUCUGAAUCUUCGUCUUUAUUUGACUUCACAUCACUGAGGAAUGCACCCUGGGCUCCUCUGGGAGUAGAGGCUACCCUCGUGAAUUAGGAAAAGUCCCAUGAGUAUGGAGAUAAUUUCACUAUAUCUUGGAUGUGUGAGAUGUGGGAGGACAGCCCCCCUCUUUUUUGAUGCUUGCUUAUGUUGCUGUGUAUGAAAAGUUAUUUCUGAAUGAUGAAAGUGUUUGCCAGGAGUAGACAGGUUGUUAUGAAUGGCAUUGCUUUUGAAUUCUGUUUAUAAUUAGUCUCCUUCCCCGCACACUUUUUUCUUUUUUUUUUUUUUUUUACUUUUUAUUUUUAGGGUCUGUAUCUAGUACAUUUCUUUCCCUUACGUGAAAGACUUAAUAGUCCGUUGCUUGAUUUCCAUGUUAAUUAAGCACGUGGCUUCUCUCAAUAACUGCCACAUCCUCGCUCACUGAAUAUGUACUUUUGCACCCUUAGCAAUGAUCUGACAACAUUAUCAGAGCAAAAUACAUAGAACAAGAAACCGAGGGGAUUAGAUAUCAAGGAGGACACUAUAGGGACCGUGUUAAUUGAGGCGAUCAGCAAGAUUAAGAUAAGUCUUGCUGCUUCCUCAUAUUGGUCUUAAUGGCACAAUGCAGAGCCCAAAGCACUUUACCUGCUGUACAAAUGUGGUUAAGUCGCUUUCUUCCCUAGGGUGUGUAAUCUAAUCUUCCAGAUAAAACACUUAGCAGAGUGAAACCAGCUGGUGUUAAAAGCUGUAUUUCUAAGAUACGGCACCUGUGUAAGGUUUUAAAAACUACUAAAAAUAGCAAAGGCCAAUAAAAGUUGAAAUUUGGUGUGAGUGUGCUUACCUAUAGAGACAGGAGCGUGUGCAUGUUAGUGGGGUGGGUGUGUGUGGGUGCACAGGCUGGCCUGAGCUAGGUUGAUGUUGCUCCAACUUCAAGAGGGGGAUUUGCCCAGGCGAUCUUCGGGGAUCUCUCUGAACAACACUUCCCUGAUUUUCUGAGAGAAUACACAGGAGUGGGGGUGCUACAAUUUAACACCGUCAUUUAUGAAAAGAUCACUCCUGCUCUAAGAAUAUUGGCUUUUCUCUGCAAUUAAAAUGAAGCAGCAAAUGAUUUUGCAUAAAUAGGCUUUGAAUGGGCUUUGAAUAAUGGACGUGUUGUCAAGAAAAAAAAAUAGGCACUACCCAAACCUUUUUCAAAUCAAUUCUUGACAGAGUUCUUCAAACGGAGAUAAACAUUGCUGGUGUAAUGAUUUGCCACAUGACCUUGCACUUGAAGUGCCAAGCGAAGUGAAAAAUAACACACUCAAACAAGAAAAAGUGCUGAUUUUGAUUCCCAAAAUAAUAUUUUUCUAGCUGGAACUAUUUCUGCUAUGGGCUAGCACGCACAUACAGGGAGAAAGUCAAGAUUUUCCUUCAGCAAUAUAUGACAUUUCCCUCUCAACUAGAUAACUGAGAGGCUAUUUGGGCUCGCGAAAAACACUUCUGCACAUCUGGGAGCAAUACAGCUCAAAAGCAAUUUGGGAGGAAGGAUAAGUCUUGCAGUCGAGGCAGAGGAUUAAGAAGGAGAGUUGAGUUGGACUCUGCCCGGCCUGACUUCUGAGACAGCCUCUUCCUCCAUCUGAGCCUCCGGUUCCUGUGGGGUUACAUGGAUCAGGGUCUUCCACUUGCCCGGAGACACUUUUCCACCUCCUGCAUCACCAGAGCCCUUGUUUUCCAUGGACUUAUAGACUGACGUGAGGAGUUUGGCUAGCAAGCAGGAGGAACUGAAAAUAAUCACCAAUGGGAAGAAAUCUGAUAUAACUGGCCUACUGAAACCACCUGGAAGGCUUUGUACGAAGGCAGUGUUAAAAGCACAGGACAAAACCUGCCUGGGCAGGGCACAGGCUGUAAGAGUGGCACGUUCUCCACCAUUCCUGGUUUGGGGAUGGCAGGCAUCUCGGAGGCAGCAAAUCUCCACUCCCUGUGUGUCGGGGAACUGCUUCAUAAACUGCAUCCACUUAUGAAACCAAACCGGUGUCCUUCAGAGCCGGUCCAGGUGCAGACUGGUGUCCUCCUUCGGCGCUGGGCUGUGUGGCAAGAGAAACUGUACCAAAGUAGAACGCACUUCCUAGGGCCAGCUGCCAUUGCUGUCCUGACAAGCUGUGUAACUCCAAGUACCACAUACGCUCGGUGCUUAAAGGAACUGGUUUUCCAAACUGAGAGAAGUUACAAGUGAAACUGAGUGUAAAAAAAUUAUUAGGAAGAAGCACAUACUAAAUGGCCAAAAAGCCAUUACUUCACAGUAAAGGAGCUGAAUAAUAUUGGUGAAAAGCCCAUUCUCUUUCAGCGGAAGAAUGGAGGCAGGAAUAACGAAUUAAAAAGCAAUAUGCAACAUAUGGGAAAAAGGGGGAGGUAAUAAAAAUCCAUAUAAAUAAGAGUUUAUGAAGUGUAGAAAAUUGAUAAAGGAUACUAAAGACAUCAGAAAAAAGUCCAUGGCUGGCCAGGCUUUGUUUAAGAAGAGUUUCUUGAAAACUUACGAAUAAUAGCAGGAAAACUAUCAGUGCCAUAGUCUCAUUACUAGCUGGAGACAGUCAAUUCAUUAAUAUCAAUGAAGAAAAACCCCAACCUGUUCAACAGUUAUCUUUGCUCUCUAUUUGGAAUAAUGUAUUUUCUGACAUAUUACUAAUUAAGAAAGGUCUUCAACAACUUGCACUGGAGUCAACCAUUUUUGAAAGCUGAAGGUCCACAAAAGUGGCCCCCAAGAGUCAAUGUAGGAUAUUUUUAGCUUGUGUAUGUCAAUUUUUAAUAAGUCACGAAAUAAUGGGGAAAUUCUCAAAAGUCAAUGUCAAUAUUAUGUAAAAAUUCCAAGACAAAUGAAACCACGCAGGUAAAUACAGUUUACUUGAUACCAGUCCCAGGCAAAAUAAUGGAGAAAUUGAGGGAAGAUUUAAUUAAUAAAGAUUUAGAAGAUAAGAGUAUAAUUAUUGUGGCCUUAAUGAGAAGGGGGUUGUGAUUUCAGACUGAUCACCUGAGGUGGGGUACACGGUUGAUAGCGGGUAACCAGGCAGGACCAGUCUGUUUAACGUGCAAGGCUUGAGUGCGCUGGUUGCCCAGGACCAAGGCACCAAAGGCCAAAGUGCCACCUCCCCUUGAUGGCCAAGAGAGAUGCUGUAAUUGCCCCCUCCUGCUGUCUCCUAACCCUGCGAGCGGUGGGUACCCCCCAUGGCUGAGGCCACGUGGUGACAGAAGGCACAAAGAAAAAGCCACAAGAGCCAGGGACAUGGGGUCUGAAAUGUCCCAGGUGGGCAGGAGGUGGAGGAGCCUGGUGGCUCCUGGUAGCCUGGGCGGUGGGUGCAAGGGGGCUGGGACUGUGGUGAAAUGAAGGUGUCGUGGUUUGGGCUGGGCCAGCCACUGAAAGAAUGACAGGUACUCUCUUUUACCUCUCUCCCCUUCAGAGAAAGGAGAGCAUCUCCCUUCGGAGGAGAGGAGAGAAAAUGAGAGGAAGAGAGAACUUAUGGGUUGAAAAAGAAACUAAAGUACUUUAAUGAAACAUUGUUAACAAAAUAAUAAAAAGAAAAAAUAAUAAUAUUAAUAAGAAAAUAACAAAAUAUACACAAUAUAUACCAAACCGUAUUGAGCUCAAUUUGAUACCAUACUGUAUUGUCUCAAUUUGAUCACAUCACUGGCAGGCACUGGGAAAGUCCCAGACUGGACUCAGUGUCGGACAGGAGCUGGAUUCCAGAUCUGGAUUCAGGAAAGCAUGGAUUGGGGUCAAAGGCAGACAAACAGACAGAGUCAUACUCAGAUGCUGGCCAUUGAAGAAAGAGGCUGACCCCUUUGAUCCCUCAGCCUUUAUACUGAGCGUGAUGCAGAUGGGGUGGAAUACCCCACUGGUAAGUUUUGGGUCACCUGUCCUGUCCUCUCCUUCCCACAGGUGUGACCCCUCUACGGUCUUCUGCUUCUGACCCUCCAACUCGGUACAUGACAAAGUGAGCUGAUCUUGAUUGUUAUAGCAAUAGGUGUAAGCCAGAGCCUCUCGGCAUACCAUUCCUUGGUAUUCACUAUAAACAUCAGACCUUAUCGGCUAGGAGCGGAUACUGUCUGAAGAAUAUGCCAUUAAUUUCAGAGACUUAUAAGAGGCUUAACUGAAAAGUAAAAUUACUGAACAGAAAAUUGGUUCUGUUUUACCUCAAACCAGGACAGAAGGACACCAAGACAGGGACAGGGGCUCAGCAGGGCAGGAGGCAGGGGUGAAAGCAAGACCAGCAAACAGGCAGCGGGACAGGGAGCUUAGGGGCAGAAUGAGAAACGUUUGAUUUCGGCAAUAAGGUAAUGUUGCUGGAAGAGCUGCAUCCUGAGCAAGGUACGAGGCAGGGUCCCAUGGAUAAAACAGUGGGUGAUUGCGCCGUGCCCCACCGCACUGGCACAUCCAUGCAGUUCAUGCGAAAGGCAAGCAUCCGACUUUAACCACUGAUUUUUGCAAGCAUAGAGAUAUUUCAAAUGGCUUUUCUGUUUUGAUUUGUGGUGCUUUAAUACAGCGAAGUCGUUCAGAAAAAUAAAUAAGGCGAUUACGCAGCAGCCUGCAAAGAAAUAAAUGAAGCGGGGGUGGGAGACAGGGCGGUGUAGGCUGCUUCAGGAAGUGAGGGGAGCCGCUGGACUGUGGGAUGUUCAGUUGGCAAAGAAAUAAAGGAUUAAAAGGAGAGAAGGAAAGGGGCAUGCAAUACAGACUAUAGAGGCUUCAUCAAAUGCCCUUAACUAGCUUUCAUGAAAUGAUGAGUGUGUGACUGAACUACCCUCCUAAAGGAGUGCUCCAGCAGAUUAGCAGGGUAUACAAUGAAGAGUCAUUUUUCUCUUGGAGCUGUUGAAUUCCUUCCUUUUAUUGAAACGGUGAAUUGCAGAUUCUGCUUAUCAAAGGUUCAGGUUCUUUUGGAGCUGCUUGAUCAUGAGCCAUAUUCUGCCUUGACUUCCAGCCCAGGCAUCCCCACCAAGUUCAAUGACAUCUCGUGGAGAGUAAAGCAGGACAGACGUUAGCUUGAUGUUUUCAACAGUGUUGUGGCUGUUAAUGAAGCAUGAUCUGAUCUGGUACAUGUUCAGAGACUGUCGCCAGUGUCUGCAGUGGAAUAGACUGUCUUUAAUGCGAAGAUGCAAUUGAUUCAUCAGGAUGUCAUGUAUACCGGAAAGUAGAACAAGUAUCGUCUUUUGUUUGAUUUUCUUCCCAGUGAGGAGUCAUUCAGAUAAAACAUGCAAGAAAUACUUUGGACAUUUUUGGCAAUGAAAAGGUUUCCUUUUCCCCCACUCCCGCCUCACCCAAAAGUAAUGGAGCUGUCUAGCUUGUUAGAUGCCACAGGCAAGUUUUAAGACUCCCAAUCGAAAAUAAAGAAUGGGAAUUUUGCUUUUAUAAGGAAGAAUUGCAGAAUUGGAAAUGAUCCAUAUUUGGGACAUACAUGCAAGCUGUUAUUCAGAUCAAAGUAUCUAUUUGGAGCUGAAUUACUCAACAGCAUCUAUCUAUGCCUCUUCAACACCUGCGGAUUAGCAAUGUAAUCGUGUGGAGGUUGCUAUAGCUACAUCUCUAGAGCAGGUGGAGUUCUUCGUCUCUUGGAGCACCAUUAUGCUCGUUCUUUGCAAAUAAACCAUGUGAGAGUAUAUUUAAAAUGUCACCCUAGCGGCAUCAGCCCUUGUCUCUAGCUGACACUCUCACAUCAGAUCUGUCCUUAUCCUAUCAACCCUGAUUUCUCUAGAAACAAUGCCACUUCCAUCUGCGCAUCCUGCCUUAAUGGUGUUGAUGGUGAACCGGCACUAGGGCCUUGCCAAUCCAGACGUAGUAAGGUCAUGAAGCAAGUGCUUGAAUUCAAGCUGAGGAGGACUGCUCAAGUUUAGCUCGCAGAUAUGUAGUCUUGCCUCAGGGUUGAUGGCAUGUAAGACUGUAAGCUGGCACUAGGAACGGCACAUAGAAAAACCACCAGCCUUCAGCAACAACACUUUCCAGGACCUGACCGACUGCUCAGACUGCGGCCAGGCAGCGGGAGUGCUGGUUGCGAUGGUUUUCAGCUGGCUGUUUGCCCAAGUCUAUUCCCAAACAAGGGCUGUGCUCGCUUUCUUACAUCAAAUACUUCAGCCUUCUUGUUUGGGCUCCCCUGCUGUUUAUUAUAGCAAAGGGUUGCCCAGAUGACCUUUCCUUCUAGAUGUCUGUCUGCAGUGACUGGCAUAUGCUGUAACCCCUAACCCUCUGCCAGUCAAGCCCACAAGAUGCUAACCUGUGUGAAAACUCAGUAGUGAUCCCUGUACAAAAAGCUGAUAGCCUAAAAGAAGAGCCCUGACAAGCAGGAAAAAAAAUAGACAAGAAGCUAAGAAAGUACCAAAGAGUAGAUAAAAAGCAAAUCAGGAUGCUUUGACUUGUCUAAUUUUGUCAUUCUCCUUGUUCGUCUUUUGCUCUAGCUCUGCAUCAAGUGCAAGCUUUUCAUUCCCCAGUCAAGCAUUACUGAGCAACAACAAGAGAUCCCAGCAACACCACUUUGGAGAGCCCUGCUCCUGGGCAGAAGGUGGGGAAGGAGCUCCCUGCUCGGUACCUUGCGAGGGAGGUGGUCAUUGAGGUUGGGGAAUGGAGAAGACGUACCCACCAUCCCACUGCUUUCCCGUGCAGGUAAAUCCUUCAGCUUGACUGGAGUCAGCGGAAACCUGGUCCGCGUGCCCACAUGGGUCACUCUGCAGAUUUGAGGUUUAAUUAUCCCGUGUAAACCAGAGGUUUCCUCCUGGUGCUCUCUUUCUCCAGCAAGCAGCCCCAAUUCAGGAAAACUUUUCCACUGGUUGAGUAUCAGCCGGUUGGUCUUGGGGUCAUGGAGUCCUGAGGAGCUGGAUGAUGAAAUGCCUGGAUCCAUAGCAGUCCACAGUCGCAUGCUGGUUCCUCUCUGAAAGAGUGCGCUGUAGUACUGACAUCCACUUACUUAUUUAACCACGGGAUAGCUUUUUGUCUGUUUUCUCUAGGCUGUUGUGGGUUUUGUUUCCAGUAGGCGUAUUACUUGAUUAAUGAUCUUUCUGUUAACACUUGCUCAUAUUCCAUAUGGGAUCUUCUUGGGUUAUCUAAAUGCACAAAAUACCUAAAACAAUGUUUUUUCUCAGCUCAACUCUGUUUUUAAUAGCACAACAUAUUUCUCCCUGCCCCACCCCCAAAGAAAAAAGCCUUUUCUGCCUUGUCCAAACUCACAUUGAAUGUUACUUGUGAAUCAUGUUGUCACCUUGUGCAGUAUUCCAAGAAAACAAAGUGUGGACAGGCUCUGUCAGGAAGGGUUUUGUAAUGUAUUUGUCAUUUCUUUUCUGUCUAGAUUAAGGGCUAAAUUUUGUGAUGUAGAUGAAUUUGUAGACCCCAUCUGUCUGAAAUCACACCAGCUAUUCAAAAGAGGGAGGCUGCUUUUUUUUCAACCAAUGAUAAUAGCACUUUUCUGGAUGCGGGUCGAAAAAUAUUUACAUCAGUAUAAAUAAGCAGUGUGUAACUAUAAAUAAAGAACAUAUGUAAUAAAAUGUUAUCAUUGAAGUUGAAAUUAAAAUUGAAUCCUGCCAAGCCCUAAACAUAGAUCAUGACAGAAAAAUCCAAUACACCUUUUUUUUUGGAGGUGCUGUAAUUACAGACUAGGUAAAGGAAAAAAAAGAUUAUACAGCAAACAUAAUUUGUAAUGAUUUCAGUAACAUUUCUGAUGUAAUGCCAUGAAAAGAAUGACUACUUGUGCAUGGCAUCUACAUGGGAAUCUACACCCCGGGGAAUCUACAUCCCCCCUCCAGGAAUUUACAUCCCCCCUCCGAGAGGUGCCAUCCGCAGCACUUACCUUUUAACCCCAGCAAUGCCACAGGCUGUAUGACCAUGGUCUGUACGACCACGGGCUGUAUGACCACAGACCUGUUUCCAAAGAGGAUGCAACGGUGCCCGCUGGGUGACUCCUGCCAGGGCUGUCCCCCCACCCUGUGACCCCCUGCAGCCUGGUCCCCCCACCCGGGGGAGUCCCUGAUGUAAGACCCAAAGACAAAUUGGGAAGAGGUUUCCAAGCGUGGAGAGAAGACCCAUGCAACCAACGGGUAGGUGACAACUCGCAGACCACGAUGUUUGUGGAACACCAAUUCAACACAGUACCUAAACAUAACUUUGUGUUUAUAAAGACCUUCUGGGAUACAAUGCUGCUGAAAUUGCUCUGAAAUCUUAGUUUUGUUCAACUCAUCCUUUGAUUUGGAUGAUAAGGAUGUUUCAAAGGCUGUGAAAGGAAGGAGUAUUUCACAUGUGACCUCAAGGCUUCAGCCAAGCUUGGAACAGGUGUAACAUUUCAAGAUGGGAAAAGAUUGGAAGCCACAACUGUGUCAUCUGAGUGCGUGCUCAGCUGAAGACUUUGUACCACAAUGCCUUCAGAAUGGUACUCACCACUUAAUCCCUCUUCAUGGUUGGACUCGAUGAUCUUAAAGGUCUUUUCCAACCUAAAUGAUUCUAUGAUUCUAUGACAGGGGGUUGUAGCAUGGGGCCACCCCUUGGUGGAUUGCCACCUGCUGCCCAUGUCCCCCAUCGCAUUCUGACCUGACGCAGCUAAGAGAUGCCUCUGCCCCCACCAUGGACUCUCCUGGGGGGCCUGCUCUCAGCACAGGUGCCGCUUGCCCUCCUUGGCCAGGAGAGCUGGGCUCCACUCCUUUCUGGCAGGCAGCUUAACCACGCUGUAACUAACUGCUUUCUGGGUAGUGGUUUUGCAGAGAGAGAUAAACUAAGAAGCCCUAGGGCGAAGGGCUGUGAUGACUGUGCCUAAAACCAAGUCUUUCAUCUCGAAAAAAGUUACUGCGUUAUCGAUGGGGCUUGGUCUGAGCAAUGUGCCCUCCACUGGCAGAGCAGGAAAAAGUUUUUCAUCCACUAGGAGCACAGACCAGUGUGGAAAAGUGCAGGUGGGCUAAAGAACACCCUCAGAGCCAUUCAUGCCGAAGCAGAAAGCAUUCUCUUUCAGUUACUGGGAGUUGAGUCUUUUGUUGCCUCCCUGGUAAGCAAGGCUUGAGGCCAAAAGCAAUUUCUUGUACUUCAAUAGCUGAAAAUAAAGCUUUAAAAAAUAAGAACAUGUCAGGGAAUUAAAUGAGAACCACAAAUUUAGCAGGGCUAGUGAUUGCCCAGGAGAAUAUUGAGGAGAAACGUAUAGAAAAGAGGGUUUUUGAGACACAGUUAAGUGAAUUACUGGUCCCAUCCAUAACAUCUGUUACAGUCCUGGCUGCUGUGUAUUUACUUUCAAAGAAUUCAGCUUCCACUGCUGUCUGCCGAGGAGCCCUAAAUCAGGUGUGCUGAUGCAAUUACUGAAAAUGAAUCUGUCAGAGCAAAUCUCACGUAAUCAAGGAGUUCUGUUUGGGUUCCCCUCCCGAACCCAUCUUUGCCUUGAGGCUAAUCUAAACCAAUGUUCCUCAAACCCAUUGGGAUUGAGCAAUGCAGGUACGAGGCAGACGUACUAAGGUUAACGAAACUUCAAACUAUUUGCCAUGAGCUGGUAAUGGUAUCUGGGAGCCAGCCAUCCACAGGGAAUGUCAAAUGGUGUUAUCUUUGGAUCUCCAUAAAAAAAGUCAGGCUUAUUUUAGUGCCAAGGAGCAGGCACAGCCUGAUGAUAUUUCAGAAGCACCAGCAGCCCCAAAUGGGCAGCAUAGACCCAGAGCUUCUUGCACCUUCGUGCACUGGCCGGUACUUGUUUUGGGAGAACAUGAGUGCAUGACAGAUGAUUUGUACAGUGAGCAUGGCUGAGGAAUAGGUGUGAGAUCUUCAUUUGCUCCUCUGACCUCAGCCCAGUAACUUGGUUCUCUGAGCAAUGAGGUCUUUCUUCGUUUAACUAGACCUCUACUUAAUUGUGCCUUCCUUAUUACAGAUGGGUUUCCCCCCCAACUUGUCCUUUCUCUUUGAUCGGUGCAAGUUUCUGUAGGAAAGGCUGUAUAGCUCAGAUGAAAAUGCUCACAUAAAAGUUUAGGUUUGGCAAAGGUUUCCAACAUAUUUUUUUUAAAGAAGAUGUAAGGUUUUGUUUCCUUACCUUCUUUUUUUUUUAUUGAAGUUUGGGCAAGGCGGGAAAUUUUAAACACAAGUUUUAUAGUUCAUGAGAAAAGAUUGUAUUUUUCUGGCUUUUCUAAAAAAGUCCUACUUUCAGCUUUCAAUUAUUUAUCCAAAUAUUUUUAUUCCCCUCUCUACUCUGGACUUUUGAUCUAUAUGAGGCGGCACUGUGUUUAACCUUGCUAGCACUGAAAGCAAUAAAACGUAAAAUGAAUAGGUGAAAAGGGACAGUAAAUCCCCAUUGCAGAAUUAUCUGGCAGGCCCUGAGACAUGGGAAGACGUCAACAAAAUAAAAUUUAUUUAAUAUUGAUGAAUGUGACAGCAACGCACCUGGAGAGGAAUAACAACAAUCAACACAGAUAUUUAGAAAAGAUUAAUAUAGAAAAAGACCUUGGGGUUGUAAUGGGUAAUGAAGGGCCUAAGAGCUCGUGUUGCGAGGAGGGCGAUCGCUCUCCCAGGGUGUAGAGCGUAAAGAGGGAUCUGUCGUGUGACAAAAAGGGAGUGAUGAGCGCAGCAUUUUGCAGUCUGGGUAAGGCUGGAGCCGGAGCCCGGCACGCAUUUUUAAGCCUCAGAUUCUAAAAAGAACACUGGGAAGUGGCAGAGUACUUAAGGAUGGGCAGGGGGAACGGUGAAGGGAACUGCAUGUGACAGACGUGAUGGAAAGCAAUUUGCGGGGCAGGAGGGAGCCCCAGCUAGCGCUGGGAGGAACUAAUAUUUGUGAGCCAUUAGGAUGGACCUUCCCUGCAGCAGAGACAGUAAAAGGGUCUUGAAUUAAAAGUGGAACAAUCCCAUUUAGAUACAAGAGAAAUGACUUAAUAAUAAGGGCUAUUACACAGGCAAUCGAAUAAGCUGUCUGGUGAGCAACUGAACGCGAGUCGCUAUUGGGAGAAGGUUUCCAAGGUGGGACCAGAACAAGUAGCAGUGGGAUUACCAUAGAAAAGGCCUCUCAGCAUCAUUUGAGCACAGCUGAUCCAAAAGGUCCUUUGCCACUGUUUUCAUUUGCGGUUCUGGGAUGUCGCAGGCUGCAAAAAAACUACUCCACACACAACAGAAGAGGCGAUACACCCAGCUUAUUAAUUAAAUCCAUCUGCCACACGCAAUAAGCCUACACCAUGAUUGGGACAAAAGGUCCAGCCCUACCAGCCUCCCCCCAGAUGUCCCAUCUGCUUUACAAGCACUUGCAAGAGCAGGUCCAGAAGCAGGAGACGCUGCGUUCGGAGUCAUCCGCAGAGGUGGCUUUUACCACACGCGUUUGCAAAGGAUGCUGGCUGGCACAGCUCAUGUCUAUUGUGAAAUGUUUGCUUCUGGAAUUUGCAAUGCUUGUACCAGUUAAAUACUGAAUUAUCAUAAAUGUAAUUUACAUGUUUCCCAAAUAAGGGAAUGCAAGCAGA